rnacentral:rRNA from 1 species
CGUUACCCGGGUUGCGGACAGUGUCUGGUGGGUAGUUUGACUGGGGCGGUCUCCUCCUAAAGAGUAACGGAGGAGCACGAAGGUUGGCUAAUCCUGGUCGGACAUCAGGAGGUUAGUGCAAUGGCAUAAGCCAGCUUGACUGCGAGCGUGACGGCGCGAGCAGGUGCGAAAGCAGGUCAUAGUGAUCCGGUGGUUCUGAAUGGAAGGGCCAUCGCUCAACGGAUAAAAGGUACUCCGGGGAUAACAGGCUGAUACCGCCCAAGAGUUCAUAUCGACGGCGGUGUUUGGCACCUCGAUGUCGGCUCAUCACAUCCUGGGGCUGAAGUAGGUCCCAAGGGUAUGGCUGUUCGCCAUUUAAAGUGGUACGCGAGCUGGGUUUAGAACGUCGUGAGACAGUUCGGUCCCUAUCUGCCGUGGGCGCUGGAGAACUGAGGGGGGCUGCUCCUAGUACGAGAGGACCGGAGUGGACGCAUCACUGGUGUUCGGGUUGUCAUGCCAAUGGCACUGCCCGGUAGCUAAAUGCGGAAGAGAUAAGUGCUGAAAGCAUCUAAGCACGAAACUUGCCCCGAG